ACUACAGGCAACCUCUAGUGAUGAGUAAAUUCCAGAAGAGGAAGAGGCAGAGGUGUUAAGAUUGCAGAGGGAGAAAGCAAAAUCAUUAUCAAUGGAGGACUUUGGGCUUGAAGAUAUUAGUCCAGAUGAGGCCACAGUGGAACCAGCUAUAGGGAAAAUAUGGUUGAAGGAAAAGGUAAAUUUAAAUCUGCCAUAUGUGAAGGCACCGGAGAUGAUAUUUUAACAGCUUUUGAAGAGGUCAAAAAAAAAAAAAAAAUUGGGUGUACUGUCAAAGGAGGAGCAAAUGGAUGUUGUAUAUAGAUGAAACAAGUUGAUGAAAACCUUCCGUCUCACCUUGAAGAGAUUCUAAAACAAAGUACUUAAGAAGAAAUGGCAGAGAAGUUGGUGAAUGAUGAAAAUUUGUUGCAAUCUGAUGAUUCUGAUGAAGAUGACGACUCCAUAUUACCGCAUAUUGAUGUUCAAGUUCAGGAGGCAAAAAAUCCUCAUGAACCCAUUCAGGAUGAUGAGAAUAAUGGAGAGAAACAUAAACCUCAGCUUGAAGAUAUUAAAGGUGAGGGCUGCCCUUGAGGAAAACUGGAGGCACAAGACUGUUUUCAGUUCAGUUGCUUCAAAAGGGGAGAAAAACCAAAAACAUUUGAAACCAGGGAACGGGCAGCUACAGACCUAUGCAGAUUUCGAUGAUCAUGCUACUGAAGGUGUAGCAUCUCGUAAUGGGUUGAUGAAUGGGCAUGCGGGAUCGUUGGAAUUAACUAAAGUCUCCAAUCUUCUGCGAGUUGAAAACAAGAGACAGAAAGUUUGGAUCUUGGCAUGAUGAUUUUUUUUCCUUAAAGUGCAAGAGGUCAUGUGAUUGAUCAAAAUGUGUUGGCUUCCUACCAAGGGGAACAAAGGGGAAUAUAUGGGCUAAAGAUUCAAAAUGGAAGUAAAUUUCCAUUUGGUACAGUCCUUGAACAGUGUUCCUAUUAGAUGUUUCUGAAUUAGUUGCUCUAGAAUGGACAAGACUGCUAGGAUAAUUUAAUAUAGAUGGAACUAACCAUGUCAGUAAUAAACCUAACGCAUUGCAAAAAAGAAAAGAAAUCAUCAUGGACUACAAUUAGGGUAAAUGGCUAACACAUGUUAACACUUUGAUUUUACUUAUUUUCAUGUCAUAGGAUAAUCUCGUAUGGAUCAUGUCAAGGAAAAUACCUAAAAAUUGGAAUACACACACACACACACUUGUCCCUUGAAGUUUUCGAGGAACUGUUUUUUAUCCUUGCGAUUGUAUUCAGAUUUCGAUGAUAUCUCGAACCUUUCUCUGUCCUAACUCUUUUUGGAUUGUUGGAGAUGAUAGAUUGAUUACCUUCCAUUUAGAUGAUUGUUAAAUUAUCGCUACAGUAAUAGGGUUAUAAGUCGACCUGAGUACCAUCUUUAUAUGGAUUGGCCUUGCACUGGAUUUCUAUUAUAUUUUAAAACAGCUCAAGUGAUACGAUCAUGAUAAUUCUGGAAGGAUUCAAAGGAAGCUCUAAGUGACGGUACCAUAUUAAUCCUGAAAUGAAUAUUAAGAAUGAGAAGCUUUUCAUCUUGUGCCUGGAAGAUCAUAUUGGGUGAUGAUGAUUUGCCAAGGAGGUAUGAAAUUGGAGAAAGGCAGAGGAAACAUGGGCUUCAAGUGUUGGCUGGAGCUGGAAUUAAGUCAGAGGAUGAUCUUGGUGACGAAGAUGGGAAUCUUGAGGCUAAUGGAGGUGCUGACUCUGAGGACAGUGAAUCUGAAGAGUCGGCAGAUGAGUUUUAUAAGCGAGUGAAUCAGCAAUGAGCUGCAAAAACUUGCCGCCAAAGCAGAGAUGUAUUCAAGGAAUCCGGCAAUUCCAUCCUUGCCUGAAACAGUCGAUGGAAAGCGCCAUAUCACUUAUCAGAUGGAGAAAAAUAGUGGACUGACGCAUAAUCGGAAGAAACAAACAAAAAAUCCAAGGAAGAAGUACUGGAGUAAGCAUGAGAAGGCAGUGUCCCAACGAAAAGGGCAAGUUCAGGAGGUCAGGAAGCUUUCUGGACCUCACGGUGGGGAAGCAUCUUGUAUUAAGGCAGGAAUCAGACGAAUCAUUAGGUAAAAGAGCUAGAUGCUAUUACUUUGGGUGGAAAUCUGUCAUGCGGACCUUGGAUCAACCUGCCGGUGACUUGGGUGAAAUGAGUAAAUAUAUAGUCAAGUUUCUGAAAUUCAAACGAUUCAAUUUGUGUCUUAUGGGGAUUGUAAUGGAGGCUUUGGUGCCUUGACAGAUGCAUAUUCCCAUUUUAGGCAGGUCAGUUUUGUUAGUAUAAUUAUCUUCAGCCGAGUGUGUUCAGACUGGAGUUUUGCUCAGAGUUGAGAUUGCUUUCCAUGUCGAAGGCCUUGUAUUAUCAGCGAGAAACCUUGCAGAAUUUUGGUCAUUAAA